rnacentral:lncRNA from 7 species
GGAAGUACUAUUGACUGAAUUAUGCUCAUAACUGAGGAUGAUGACCUACAGGCAAACUCUGCUAGUGACCAGGUUGUUCUUGCAGAGGAGGACCUAGGCAGUCACCAACAUGUACAGGCUGGAAAGAAAGCUGUAACAACUUAAAAAUAUUCUGGACCUGCAAAGGAACCAGAUUUCGGAGUGAAAUCCUAGAUCAAAAAAGAAAAAAAGUUAAAUGAGCUUGAACAAAUGACAGCUAAGCUUUUCUUGUCAUUGACUGGUCCUUUGCCUUCAGUAUGACUGAAUCAUUUAGAUAUGAACUGAUUUGAAUGGAACUACUCAUACUUUAAGAUUCAGUAUGAUACAGGACUGGGACCUGCUAAGGGAAAUCAUCAAUUUUCAGUCAGCAUCUCAUUAUAACAACAUAGUUUGGAAGCAACCAACUAACAUUAACUGGAAAGAAAUGGGCGCUCUUAGUAUGGUUUUCUAGAACUGCCUGUUUCUAUCCACAAGAAAUAUAAGGUGCCUAGGAAGAUCAAAAUAUUUAAUAAAAUGAAGGAACAUAUGUCAU